UCAAAACAAUAAAAAAAUUGUUCCAAUUAUAACAUGAAGACCGUGAAAUCCUGUAGCUAUAAAAAAUGUUGAUCCAUAAAUUCUAUCUGCAAUAGUAAAAGGUGCUUCAAAAUAUUCAUAUGCUUGUAAGAUAGUGAAAUAAAUUCCUAGCAUUACUGUAAUAAAAAGACCUUGAUUAGUUUGAGUAAAAUUAUUUUCCAUAAGAGCAUGAUGUGCUCAAGUUACAGUAAUUCCUGAAGUAAUUAAAAUAAUUGUAUUCAAUAAAGGAAUUUGAAAUGGGUUAAAGGGGGUAAUACUUAUAGGGGGUCAUAUUAUACCAAUUUCAAUAUUUGGUGAUAAACUUCUAUGAAAAAAAUGCUCAAAAGAAUGAGAUAAAGAAAAAAAUUUCUGAGAUAAUAUAUAAAAUUAUUCCUCAUCGAAGACCUUUAGAAACUAAAAUAGUAUGUUUACCUUGUAUGGUACCUUCUCGACAAAUAUCUCGUCAUCACUGAUAUAUCGUUAAAAUUGUAAUAAUAUA